rnacentral:ncRNA from 1 species
CGUUCUCGGGGCGGGGUGCAAUUCCCCACCGGUGGUGAUUUUUUAAUAAAAUAAGUCCACGAGCACAAAACAAAUGUGUUGAUUUGGUGAGAUUCCAAAGCCGACGGUGACAGUCCGGAUGGAAGAGAAG